rnacentral:rRNA from 1 species
UAACGUUCCCCUGNUUGCGGGGAGCGUGGCGUACGGCUCAGUACACGUAAUCUCCUGCCCUAGAGACAUGGACAACCCCGGGAAACUGGGAUUAAUCCGUGAUAGGUCAUCUCAUCUGGAAGGAGAGAUGGCUUAAAGGGGUGCGAGAGCUUCUUUCUUGUACUCGCUCUAGGAUGGGACUGCGGCCGAUCAGGCUGUUGGUGGGGUAAUGGCCCACCAAACCUGUAACCGGUACGGGCCUUGAGAGAGGGGGCCCGGAGAUGGACACUGAGAGAAGGGUCCAGGUCCUACGGGGCGCAGCAGGCGCGAAACCUUCACAAUGCGCGAAAGCGUGAUGAGGUUAAUCCGAGUGGUCCCCGCUGAGGGGAUCUUUUGUUGGCUCUAAAACGGCCAGUGAAUAAGGGGAGGGCAAGUCUGGUGUCAGCCGCCGCGGUUAA